rnacentral:rRNA from 1 species
UACGUAGGGGGCAAGCGUUGUCCGGAUUUAUUGGGCGUAAGGAGCGUGUAGGCGGCCAUACAGGUCAGCUGUGAAAACUCGAGGCUCAACCUCGAGACGUCGGUUGAAACCGUAUGGCUAGAGUCCGGGAGAGGAGAGUGGAAUUCCCGGUGUAGCGGUGAAAUGCGCAGAUAUCGGGAAGAACACCUAUGGCGAAGGCAGCUCUCUGGGACGGUACUGACGCUGAGACGCGAAAGCGUGGGGAGCAAACAGG